GAUGAACGCUGGCGGCGUGCCUAAUACAUGCAAGUCGAGCGAAGCGGGGACGGGUGAGUAACACGUGGAUAACCUCCUAUAAGACUGGGAUAACUUCGGGAAACCGGAGCUAAACCGGAUCCUUAUAGAUGGAUCCGCGACGCAUUAGCUAGGUGGUAAGGUAACGGCUUAACAAGGCAACUAUGCGGAGCCGACCUGAGAGGGUGAUCGGCCACACUGGAACUGAGACACGGUCCAGACUCCUACGGGAGGCAGCAGUAGGGAAUCUUCCGCAAUGGGCGAAAGCCUGACGGAGAAACGCCGCGUGAGUGAUGAAGGUCUUCGGAUCGUAAAACUCUGUUAUUAGGGAAGCGGUACCUAAUCAGAAAGCCACGGCUAACGACGUGCCAGCAGCCGCGGUAAUAC
rnacentral:rRNA from 1 species